UAGGGAAUAUUGGACAAUGGGUGCGAGCCUGAUCCAGCCAUGCCGCGUGCAGGAAGAAAGCCUUCUGGGUUGUAAACUGCUUUUCUCUGGGGAUAAAAGGCCCAUGCGGGGGACAUUGAAGGUACCGGAGGAAUAAGCCACGGCUAACUACGUGCCAGCAGCCGCGGUAAUACGUAGGUGGCAAGCGUUGUCCGGAUUUAUUGGGUUUAAAGGGUGCGUAGGCGGCUUUGUAAGUCAGUUGUGAAGUACGGCAGCUCAACUGUCGAGGUGCAAUUGAUACUGCAAAGCUUGAGUACUGAUGAGGUAGGCGGAAUGGACGGUGUAGCGGUGAAAUGCUUAGAGAUCGUCCAGAACACCGAUAGCGAAGGCAGCUUACUAAGGAGUAACUGACGCUGAGGCACGAAAGUGUGGGGAUCAAACAGGAUUAGAUACCCUGGUAGUCCACACUGUAAACGAUGAUUACUCGAUGUGUGCGAUAUACGGCACGCGUCUUAGCAAAAGCGAUAAGUAAUCCACCUGGGGAGUACGCCGGCAACGGUG
rnacentral:rRNA from 1 species